rnacentral:rRNA from 1 species
GCCCGCGUCUGAUUAGCUAGUUGGUGAGGUAACGGCUCUACCAAGGCAACGAUCAGUAGCCGGCUUGAGAGAGUGAACGGCCACAUUGGGACUGAGACACGGCCCAAACUCCUACGGGAGGCAGCAGUCGGGAAUAUUGCGCAAUGGAGGAAACUCUGACGCAGUGACGCCGCGUAUAGGAAGAAGGUUUUCGGAUUGUAAACUAUUGUCGUUAGGGAAGAAAAAGGACAGUACCUAAGGAGGAAGCUCCGGCUAACUAC